rnacentral:rRNA from 1 species
UACGUAGGGAGCAAGCGUUGUUCGGAUUUACUGGGCGUAAAGGGCGCGUAGGCGGCAAAUUAAGUCAGCUGUGAAAUCUCCGAGCUUAACUCGGAACUGUCAGCUGAUACUGAUCUGCUAGAGUGCGGAAGGGGCAAUCGGAAUUCUUGGUGUAGCGGUGAAAUGCGUAGAUAUCAAGAGGAACACCAGUGGCGAAGGCGAGUCCCUGGACAACUUCUGACGCUGAGGCACGAAAGCUAGGGGAGCAAACAGG